UUGAACGCUGGCGGCAUGGCUAAAACAUGCAAGUCGAACGAGAACCCCGCAAGGGGGGACAGUGGCGGAAGGGCGAGUAAUGCAUUCGAACGUACCCCGAGGUGUGGGAUAGGCAUGGGAAACUGUGCGUAAUACCGCAUGUGAUCCUCGGAUGAAAGCCUUCGGGCGCCUUGGGAGCGGCGAAUGUCCUAUCAGGUAGUUGGCGGGGUAAAAGCCCACCAAGCCGAAGACGGGUAGCGGGUGUGAGAGCACGACCCGCCGCAUCGGGACUGAGACACUGCCCGGACUCCUACGGGAGGCUGCAGUAACGAAUAUUCCGCAAUGCGCGAAAGCGUGACGGAGCAAUGCCGCGUGCAGGAUGAAGCGGUUUCGCCGUGUAAACUGCUGUCAGGAGUCAGAAACACUGAUCGACUCCAGAGGAAGGGCCGGCUAAUCCUGU
rnacentral:rRNA from 1 species